AAAUAGUCAAACCAUGGGUUCCCGUGUCGAAUUUUAACUGUUCGUCUUAUAUAAAAAUUUUUUAUAAUUCGUAUUUUCAUUGUUGUGAGAUGAUAAAACAUGAUUAAUAUUUUAUGCGUGACUUGUCUUUUUUUUUCAUAAUUUUUUUAAAUAAGACGGACGGUCAAACGUUGGGCACGGAAACCAGAGUUUGUCUUUUUU
rfam:Oryza glumipatula chromosome 1, whole genome shotgun sequence.